rnacentral:rRNA from 1 species
CCUACGGGCGGCAGCAGUGGGGAAUAUUGGACAAUGGGCGAAAGCCUGAUCCAGCCAUGCCGCGUGUGUGAAGAAGGCCUUCGGGUUGUAAAGCACUUUCAGUGGGGAAGAAAGCCUUGGGGCUAAUACCCUCGAGGAAGGACAUCACCCACAGAAGAAGCCCCGGCUAACUCCGUGCCAGCAGCCGCGGUAAUACGGAGGGUGCGAGCGUUAAUCGGAAUUACUGGGCGUAAAGCGCGCGUAGGCGGUCUGAUAAGCCGGUUGUGAAAGCCCCGGGCUCAACCUGGGAACGGCAUCCGGAACUGUCAGGCUAGAGUGCAGGAGAGGAAGGUAGAAUUCCCGGUGUAGCGGUGAAAUGCGUAGAGAUCGGGAGGAAUACCAGUGGCGAAGGCGGCCUUCUGGACUGACACUGACGCUGAGGUGCGAAAGCGUGGGUAGCAAACAGGAUUAGAUACCCGUGUAGUC